rnacentral:lncRNA from 1 species
AAACUGAUGGGUUCGCGUGAGUGACAGUGUACGGCUGCAUUGGGCAGAGAAUCCAACACCACCUAAAAGAUUCAGGAGUGCCACGAUUCCUAUUCUGGUAGCGUCGGGAAUCGGACGAACGCGCGGAGUCACGCGGUGGUAGCUCCUCGCCGAUUGAAGAGGAAAUGGAGGAAGUGGAAUUUUUUUAGCCUGAGCGCAGGGCCUCCUCGCGUUUCGGACCCUCACUGGAGAGCAUCAUCUUCUAAGUCUUCUUCUUCUUCUUCUGCUCUCGUCUCCAUCCCCGACUGUCACCUCACUCCUAACCUUCUCCUCCGCCUUGAUCAUCACUAGGUAGUGAUUCAGGCUCCUUGACAGAGCGACCACUCAAAUCUGCCUCCAGGAUUUAGUGGUCGAUUCGUGCUGCAAGGCAAGGCAAGUCAAGACAAGUCAAGUCUCAACCCUUCUCAUCAAAUGAGUCUAUCGUGAUCUCAGGAUCUCAGGCACAAAGCUCUCGCCGUGAACGAGGAUUAAUCGCAGGGUGCAAACUAUAUAUAUCACAUCGAUGCAUCACGGGAUUAGUUCACCCUGUCCAGUGAUAGCAUUAUUCUGUGCACCUUCCUUCUACAGCAGGGUUCUAGUCUCAGAGUGGUGCAGAAGAGAUGAUGUUGCACCCACCCAUGUCACACAAAUGAAUACAGAUCAGAUUCAACAUGUUGAACCGGGUUUGAAGCAUCUCUCUCUCUCUCUCUCUCUCUCUCUCACACACACAGCUCGCUCGCUGCCUGAACGAUGAUGCUCUUCAUCUGGGUUCGCUCAAAGGAGCGGGGCUGUUUGGACAAUUCCCCGAACUGUGCAGGAAAGGAUGCUCUCAGGUCUCAUCAAUGAACACGGAAAUGUGAG